rnacentral:rRNA from 1 species
GACGAACGCUGGCGGCGUGCUUAACACAUGCAAGUCGAACGGGGAAUCAGCAAUGAUUUCUAGUGGCGAACGGGUGAGUAACGCGUAGAUAACCUGCCUUCUAGAUGGGGACAACACUCCGAAAGGAGUGCUAAUACCGAAUGUGGCAUAGCAGUUACCUAACCGCUAUGUUAAAGGUGGCCUCUUUAUAUGCUACCGCUAGAAGAUGGGUCUGCGUCUGAUUAGCUAGUUGGUGAGGUAACAGCUCACCAAGGCGACGAUCAGUAGCCGGUCUGAGAGGAUGAACGGCCACACUGGAACUGAGACACGGUCCAGACUCCUACGGGAGGCAGCAGUGGGGAAUAUUGCGCAAUGGGGGCAACCCUGACGCAGCAACGCCGCGUGAGUGAGGAAGGUUUUCGGACCGUAAAGCUCUGUCGAGUGGGAAGAAGUGUAUCAUGGCUAAUAUCCGUGAUAUUUGACGGUACCGCUAGAGGAAGCACCGGUA